rnacentral:rRNA from 1 species
UACGUAGGGACCAAGCGUUGUUCGGAUUUACUGGGCGUAAAGGGCGCGUAGGCGGCAAUUCAAGUCAGCUGUGAAAUCUCUGGGCUUAACCCAGAACGGCCAGCUGAUACUGCUUUGCUAGAGUGCAGAAGGGGCAAUCGGAAUUCUUGGUGUAGCGGUGAAAUGCGUAGAUAUCAAGAGGAACACCUGAGGUGAAGACGGGUUGCUGGGCUGACACUGACGCUGAGGCGCGAAAGCGUGGGGAGCAAACAGG